GAUGAACGCUGGCGGCGUGCCUAAUACAUGCAAGUCGAGCGAACAGACGAGGAGCUUGCUCCUCUGACGUUAGCGGCGGACGGGUGAGUAACACGUGGAUAACCUACCUAUAAGACUGGGAUAACUUCGGGAAACCGGAGAUAAUACCGGAUAAUAUAUUGAACCGCAUGGUUCAAUAGUGAAAGACGGCUUUGCUGUCACUUAUAGAUGGAUCCGGGCCGCAUUAGGUGGUUGGUAAGGUAAAGGCUUACCAAGGGAAGGAUGCGUAGCCGACCUGUGAGACGGGUAGGCGGCACUGGAAGUGGAACAGCGACCAGACGCCUACGGGACGGCGCAGUAGGGUACCGUCGGCAGUAGUCGGGAGCAUUGCGGAGCAAGGGGACGUGUGAUGUAGCAGUCUUGCGUUCGGGAAGCUGUGUUACUAGGGGUAAACAAAUUUGUACGUAGCUGAAGACGGCUUGACGGUACCUGAUCAAGAAGCAACGGCUAACUACGUG
rnacentral:rRNA from 1 species